rnacentral:rRNA from 1 species
AAUCCAUAGGUUAAUGAGGCGAACCGGGGGAACUGAAACAUCUAAGUACCCCGAGGAAAAGAAAUCAACCGAGAUUCCCCCAGUAGCGGCGAGCGAACGGGGAGGAGCCCAGAGCCUGAAUCAGCAUGUGUGUUAGUGGAAGCGUCUGGAAAGGCGCGCGAUACAGGGUGACAGCCCCGUACACAAAAGCGCAUGUGCUGUGAGCUCGAUGAGUAGGGCGGGACACGUGGUAUCCUGUCUGAAUAUGGGGGGACCAUCCUCCAAGGCUAAAUACUCCUGACUGACCGAUAGUGAACCAGUACCGUGAGGGAAAGGCGAAAAGAACCCCGGCGAGGGGAGUGAAAAAGAACCUGAAACCGUGUACGUACAAGCAGUGGGAGCACCCUUUGGGGUGUGACUGCGUACCUUUUGUAUAAUGGGUCAGCGACUUAUAUUCUGUAGCAAGGUUAACCGUAUAGGGGAGCCGGAGGGAAACCGAGUCUUAAUUGGGCGUUAAGUUGCAGGGUAUAGACCCGAAACCCGGUGAUCUAGCCAUGGGCAGGUUGAAGGUUGGGUAACACUAACUGGAGGACCGAACCGACUAAUGUUGAAAAAUUAGCGGAUGACCUGUGGCUGGGGGUGAAAGGCCAAUCAAACCGGGAGAUAGCUGGUUCUCCCCGAAAGCUAUUUAGGUAGCGCCUCGUGAAUUCAUCUCCGGGGGUAGAGCACUGUUUCGGCUAGGGGGCCAUCCCGGCUUACCAACCCGAUGCAAACUGCGAAUACCGGAGAAUGUUAUCACGGGAGACACACGGCGGGUGCUAACGUCCGUCGUGAAGAGGGAAACAACCCAGACCGCCAGCUAAGGUCCCAAAGUCAUGGUUAAGUGGGAAACGAUGUGGGAAGGCCCAGACAGCCAGGAUGUUGGCUUAGAAGCAGCCAUCAUUUAAAGAAAGCGUAAUAGCUCACUGGUCGAGUCGGCCUGCGCGGAAGAUGUAACGGGGCUAAACCAUGCACCGAAGCUGCGGCAGCGACGCUUAUGCGUUGUUGGGUAGGGGAGCGUUCUGUAAGCCUGUGAAGGUGGCCUGUGAGGG